rnacentral:rRNA from 1 species
AGAAUUGAUCUUGGUCAGGACGAACGCUGGCGGCGUGCCUAAUACAUGCAAGUCGAACGGUCUUUCUAUGGAAGCUUGCUUCCACUGAGAAGAUAGUGGCGAACGGGUGAGUAACACGUGGGUAACCUGCCCAUAAGAGGGGGAUAACAUCCGGAAACGGGUGCUAAUACCGCAUAGUUUUCUUGAUUGCAUGAUUGAGAAAGGAAAGACGGCCUUUGUGCUGUCGCUUAUGGAUGGACCCGCGGCGUAUUAGUUAGUUGGUGAGGUAACGGCUCACCAAGACGAUGAUACGUAGCCGACCUGAGAGGGUGAUCGGCCACAUUGGGACUGAGACACGGCCCAAACUCCUACGGGAGGCAGCAGUAGGGAAUCUUCCGCAAUGGACGAAAGUCUGACGGAGCCGACGCCGCGUGAACGAAGAAGGCCGUGAGGUUGUAAAGUUCUUUUCGGGAGGGGGAACAACCGUGGCAGGGAAUGGCCGCGGGAUGACGUGAAUCCCGGAAUAAGCCCCGGCUAACUACGUGCCAGCCGCCGC